rnacentral:lncRNA from 1 species
UUAACCGGGGGGGGGGGGGCUGCUGGACUGGUACAGGAGUACACACUCACAAGCCAGAAGGUAGGGCUGGGAAUAGCAGAGACUGAGAGUCAAAGAGGUGAACUAGACGAAGAAAGGGCUUUUUUGGGAGGGGAGGACUUAGGUUGUUGGUGCAGGACAGAGUACAGAAGCCAGAAAGUAGGGCUGGGGAGGGAUCAGAAUUGAAAUUCUCCCUGUGGGGACUCAUAAGAGUCAGGCUAUUUCCUAAACCUAUCCCACUCUCAGUCAAAUUAAAGCAAAUAAAGGUUAAUUUUUUUUAAAACAAACACACAAAAAAGCCCUUUUUAAGCUUACCCCCCAAACACACGCCCACUCACUCCUCCCUCCACCUUGUGUAACUGUGGAGCAGAACAAACAACUCUGCAUAUGUAUGCUUGCCCACAAUGCCCUGCCUCAUGCACGGAGGAGGACUUGUUUAAAGCCACGGACAAUGCGGUCGCUGUUGCCCACUUUUGGUCUAAAACUAUUUAGCUGCUUGUGAUUUCCUUUAUUUUAUCACUUUUAAACUUAUUUAUUAUGGAAUGCUUUUGACACAAAAUAAAUAAAGAACUCCCUAGCAAAAUAAGUAAAAUAAAAGAACUAUAAAAAUAUAUUAACUAAGAAAAUUUAAUGCAGAAGAAAAGGUUGGAAUUCUCAAAAAGCAAUCCCCUAAGCACUAAGAAGCAGCAACGGCACUGAGAUAGAACACGGAGCUAGCUAGCACACAAUGUCUCUCUCUCAAACGCCAGAAUGCCACAGAAAAAUGGAGGAGCUUGCCCUGGUAUAUACAGACCAGCUUUGCAAAAAGACACGUGAUCCGCUACCUUAUUCUGAUUUGCUCUGGCAAAGCUAAUGGAGAACCCCCCCUCAGCCAGAUACAGCCCAGGAUCAGCUGUCCAACUGCCAGGUCGCUCAUAUCCCGUGAACCCAGUAUCGUAAAAUGGUAUCGUUCAUAGUAAAGGUAAAGGUUUCCCCUGACGUUAAGUCCAGUCGUGUCCGCGACUCUGGGGGUUGGUGCUCAUCUCCAUUUCUAAGCCGAAGAGCCGGCGUUGUCCGUAGACACCUCCAAGGUCAUGUGGCCAGCAUGACUGCAUGGAGCACUGUUACCUUCCCGCCGGAGCAGUACCUAUUGAUCUACUCACAUUUGCAUGUUUUCAAACUGCUAGGUUAGCAGAAGCUGAGGCUAACAGCUGCGCCACAGGGGUGGGAAAAUG